UACGAAGGGGGCUAGCGUUGCUCGGAAUCACUGGGCGUAAAGGGUGCGUAGGCGGGGCUUUAAGUCAGGGGUGAAAUCCUGGAGCUCAACUCCAGAACUGCCUUUGAUACUGAAGAUCUUGAGUUCGGGAGAGGUGAGUGGAACUGCGAGUGUAGAGGUGAAAUUCGUAGAUAUUCGCAAGAACACCAGUGGCGAAGGCGGCUCACUGGCCCGAUACUGACGCUGAGGCACGAAAGCGUGGGGAGCAAACCGG
rnacentral:rRNA from 1 species